rnacentral:rRNA from 1 species
CCUACGGGUGGCAGCAGUGAGGAAUAUUGGUCAAUGGGCGCGAGCCUGAACCAGCCAAGCCGCGUGAAGGAUGACUGCCCUACGGGUUGUAAACUUCUUUUAUAAAGGAAUAAAGUGAGGCACGUGUGCCUUUUUGUAUGUACUUUAUGCAUAAGGAUCGGCUAACCACGUUCCAGCAGCAGCGGUAAUACGGAGGUUCCGAGCGUUAUCCGGAUUUAUUGGGUUUAAAGGGAGCGUAGAUGGGUUGUUAAGUCAGUUGUGAAAGUGUGCGGCUCAACCGUAAAAUUGCAAUUGAUACUGGCAGUCUUGAGUACAGAUGAGGUAGGCGGAAUUCGUGGUGUAGCGGUGAAAUGCGUAGAUAUAACGAAGAACUCCGAUGGCGAAGGCAGCGUACUAAGAUGCCACUGACAUUGAUGCUCGAAAGUGUGGGUAGCAAACAGGAUUAGAUACCCCGGUAGUC